rnacentral:rRNA from 1 species
CAUAGCCCUUGAAAUAACCAAAGGUGUAACCUGCCCAAUGAUCUUAAACUCAAAAAAUAUAACCGUUUUUAAUAAGAUUUAAAGGACGCAGUAUCCUGACUGUGAUAAUGUAGCAUAAUCAUUCGCCAUUUAAUUGAUGGAUAGUAUGAAUGGUUGAACGAAUUCUUCACUGUCUUAAAAAAAGAAAUAAUGAAAUUUAAAUAAUAGUAAAGAUGCUAUUUAAAAUUGUAAGACGAAAAGACCCUAUAGAGCUUAACUAUAAGUUCUUUUUCCUAAAAGAAUAUAAUUCAUACAAAAAAGAACUUGGUAGUUUAGUUGGGGCGACUAUCUUCUAAUAUUAACGAAGACAAGCAAAAUUAAUAAAUAAUUUAUUGUAUAAUUAAUAAAUUUAACAAUUACUAAAGUAGGCAUAAUGACCCGUUUUCAUUAAGUAAACAAAGAAAACGAUCAAUAAAUAAAAGCUACCUUAGGGAUAACAGGAUAAUUUUGUUCUAGAGAUCCUAUCGAAAACAAAGUUUGUCACCUCUAUGUUGAAUUAAGAUAUCCUAGUAAUGCAGAAGUUACUAAAGGUAGGUCUGUUCGACCUUUAAAAUCUUACAUGAU